AUCUGGGAAAAGUCCAGUUCUUUCUAAUGGAAUUUUUACUGUACUUUAUCAGAGAUAAGUAUUUGGUACAUUCCAAACUAUGAGGCAAAUAUUUAUCUAGUUUGGGGUGAUUGUGGAUAGAACUGCUGUGAAUAUUUGUGUGUCAGUUUUGUAUGAACAUAAGUUUUAAUUUCUCCAAAGAACAGGGAGUGGGAUUGCUGGGUCGCACAGGUGUGUGAAGCUUAAUAAAAAAUUUGAUAGGAAAACCGUUUUUCCAAUGUGGCUGUACCAUUAUGCACUCUCACUAGCAAUAUAUGAGAGCUGUAGUGCCUCUUUAUCCUUGACAACAUGGUAUGGUUCUUCCCUUAUUUCUAGGUAACAAGUACUAUUUAUUUUCUUCUGUUUUCUCCUUAAAAGUUUUGUAUUUUACGUUUUAUGUUUAGAUCUAUGGUCCAUUCUGAAUUAAGUUUAGAAUUUAGUUAAGUUUAGAAGGUUUAGAUUGAGUUUUGUCUUCCUACUGAUAACCAGCUGUUCCAACACCAUUUGUUAAAAAGACUAUUCUUUCUCCGUUGAAUUACUUUUGCACUUUUGUCAGAGAUCAAUCAUUCAUAUUUGUGUAGAUCUAUUUCUGGAGUCUGUAUUCUCUCAUAUUGAUCCAUGUGUCUGUCUCUUACCAGUACCACACUGUCUUGAUUACUGUAGCUUUAUAGUAAGUCCUAAGUCAAAAAGUGUGAUUCUUUCAACUUUAUUCUUAGUUUCCAGUUUUGUGUUUGGUAAUUUUAGCUCUUUUGCCUUUCCACAUAACUUUUAGAAUCAAUUUCUCUAGAUCUGCUAAGAAUCCUGCUGGAAUUUUCGUAGAAUUACAUUAUAUCUAUAGAUCACUUUGGGGCAAACUGACCUUUUCUUUCUGUGUAGCCUUCCAAUUCAUGAACGCAGAAUGUCUCUCUCUAUUUAGAUUUUCUUUAAAAUUGUCAGCAGAGUCUUGUAGUUCAGUUCUUUUCUUUCUUUGUGCCAUUUUUUCUGCCGCUGGCUGGGACUUCUAGUCCAUGAUGUUGACUUGGAGUGUUGAAAGUAGACAUCCUUGCACUGUCCCUAAUCUUAGAAAUUAUUUAGUCUUUCACCGUUAAGUAUAAGGUUACCUGUAGGUGUUUCUAUAGAUGCCCUUUUCCGAUUGAGAGAGUUUCCUUCUAUCCCUAGUUUUCUGAGAAUUUUUGUGAUGAAUAGACGUUGGAUUUCAUCAGGUGCUUUUUCUGUACCAAUUCGUAUGAGCGUGUGUUUUUUCUUCUUUAGGCUAUUAAUAUGAAGGAAUUGUCUAAGGACUGGGGAGUGAGAGAAUGCAGGAAAAAAAAAAAGAAUGAGGAAUUUCCCCAUUCACUCUGAGCUUCCAGAAACCCCGUUCUUUGAACCGCAUUUCCCCCAGAGCCCUCAGUCCAUGCAUAUGUCUGCCUUUGGAUUUCAGACUGCAUUGAGUCCAGUUUGGGGGAUAAUAGAGGGGAAAAGAUGGUAAAUGCAAUGGUAAAUGAAUUAAAAAAUGGUAAAUAUUUCACCAAAUCCUCCAGCUACUGUUUGCUUUUUGGGAGUUGUUAAAUAGCUGCUCCAUUUAUUUUCUCCAGGUUUAUUGCCACGUUCAGUGGGGGAGACAGGGUACAGGGUAGGGCGUGCUUGCUUCCUCUCACCUGUCAUUAAUCUGAGGAGUUUGUUUGUUUGUUUGUUUUGCCUUGUCAGCUGUCUACAGGCAUAUUGUUAGACUGACGUGCUGAAUUAUGUAAUCUUUAAAUUUGAAGAAUUAAUGCGAAUUGGAGAUCCCAAGAUGAAUUUAGGUAUUGUAGUACCUAAAUAGUAUUUUCUAUGUGUAAGCAAUAAUUGCUGUAAAAGAGAAACACAUAAAACUAAAUUAUGAGAAUGUUUCAAAUUGAUCGGUUUCCUAAGAAUUUAUCUCUGGCUCUAUGUUUUAUUAUUAUCAUGUGCUUUGAAACACUGUUUUGAAUGUGUGCACACUUUUAGAACCAGCGACCCCACACUGCUCAGUCAGCUCGGUAAGUUGCUUGUGUACCUAGCGAGGGUCCUGGGUGGAGGUUUCUGCUGGAGGCCAGGAGUGGGGCAUGAAGAGGUGGAAAGGCAGAGCUGGGAGUGAGUGGUCUUCCAAGUGGGUGGAGCCAUGGAAAUAGACUAUUGAGAGAACUGUCCGUACCGUGCAGAAAAAGAGAAGAGGAACAGAGGGCGGUGGGGAGGUGGUGUCAGAACUUAGGUCUGAGAAGCAGAGGAGGAAAGCCUGAACCAGGGGUGUGCGGGCCGCCAAAUGCCUGGAGGAAACAAGCUUCCAGAACAUGCAGUCACCGCGGGGAGCGGUGUCGAGAAUGAGGUUGGGGCAGUGCCAUCCAUGUGUUUGUUGUAUGAAGGCCUUGGAGAGCUGUUUCAGUCAACUAGGAAGGAAACAGAGGCGCGAGGAAAAGAGGAAUAAUAGGAUAUUAUUUUAUUUAUUAAUUUUAACUCUCUUUGAUUUUAAAUUCACAGACCGUGAGGACAGUGUUAAGGCAUCUUUAUUAUCCAUAACACUGCAUGCUGCAAACAUGCAGUUGCGAUUCAGAUACAGACAGCUGAGUGACAGCCCAUUACCAGCAGUGCCUGCGCGCUUAUGUGGUUCUGGACUAGCAGAGGUGGUUGGGCAAAGCUGGAGACAUGCCCUGUUGAAGAGCUUCUGCCCUUUGUAAACCCUAAAGGAAAUUCCUUUGCUUCCCUAUUUCAUUUCUUCUUUACAGCCCACUCACUUCCAAAAGUGACUCUGAGGCAGGUAACAUGUGGCUUAGAACAAAAUACAAUAGCACAUCUUUAGGAUGUGUUCCCUCAGACAACAGACUUUUUUUUCCCCUUUUUUUUUUUUUUUUUAAAUUAAAGGGCUAAGAAGUAUCUUGCUAACUGCUCAAUUUUUGCUGCGUUUUGGAAGGGGGAGCGAAAUCUGUUUGCCCAAGCUGCCCUAUUCUCUAUUUGUCUUGAAUUACAUUGGCUUAUUUUUCGUUAUUCCAUGGUACAGUUUUAGGGGCGCAGAAGAAAUACUCCACAAGUGUCUACUUCCAGUGAGGAAUUGCCACAUCUUCAGCUGCAACGUGUGUAUUUUUUCCCUUU